rnacentral:rRNA from 1 species
GAUGAACGCUAGCGGCAGGCAUAAUACAUGCAAGUCGAACGGUGUCUUCGGACAUAGUGGCGCACGGGUGCGUAACACGUAUGCAACCUACCUUACAUUGGGGGAUAGCCUUUCGAAAGGGAGAUUAAUACCGCAUAAGACAGUAGUCUGGCAUCAGACAGCUGUUAAAGAUUUAUCGAUGUAAGCUGGGCAUGCGUCCAAUUAGUUAGUUGGCGAGGUAACGGCUCACCAAGACUAUGAUUGGUAGGGGAACUGAGAGGUCAAUCCCCCACACUGGCACUGAGAUACGGGCCAGACCCCUACGGGAGGCAGCAGUAGGGAAUAUUGGGCAAUGGACGCAAGUCUGACCCAGCCAUGCCGCGUGCAGGAAGAAGGCGUUAUGCGUUGUAAACUGCUUUUAUACAGGAAGAAACGACUCUUGCGAGAGGCAUUGACGGUACUGUAUGAAUAAGCACCGGCUAACUCCGUGCCAGCAGCCGCCGUAACAC